rnacentral:rRNA from 1 species
GAUGAACGCUGGCGGCGUGCUUAACACAUGCAAGUCGAACGUGAGAGGGUAGCAAUAUCCUUGAAAGUGGCGCACGGGUGAGUAAUACGUAGGUAACCUGCCCUGGAGUGGGGGAUAACAACUGGAAACGGUUGCUAACACCGCAUAAUACCGGACACUAGGGAUAGUGACUGGUAAAAACUCUGGUGCUUCAGGAGGGGCCUGCGGCCGAUUAGCUAGUUGGCGGGGUAAGAGCCCAACAAGGCAUUGAUCGGUAGCUGGUCUGAGAGGACGAUCAGCCAAACGGGAACUGAGACACGGUCCCGACUCCUACGGGGGGCAGCAGUGAGGAAUAUUGGGCAAUGGGCGAAAGCCUGACCCAGCAACGCCGCGUGGAGGAAGACGGCCUUCGGGUUGUAAACUCCUUUUACGGGGGAAGAGGAAGGACGGUACCCCGAGAAUAAGUCACGGCUAACUACGUGCCAGCCGCCGCGGUAAUAC